AACGAACGCUGGCGGCAUGCCUAACACAUGCAAGUCGAACGGGAUCCUGGCUUCGGUCAGGUGAGAGUGGCGGACGGGUGAGUAACGCGUGGGAACCUGCCCAGUGGUAGGGAAUAACUGCGGGAAACUGCAGCUAAUACCCUAUGCACCCUACGGGGGAAAGAUUUAUCGCCAUUGGAGGGGCCCGCGUCGGAUUAGCUAGUUGGUAGGGUAACGGCCUACCAAGGCGACGAUCCGUAGCUGGUCUGAGAGGAUGAUCAGCCACACUGGGACUGAGAUACGGCCCAGACUCCUACGGGAGGCAGCAGUGGGGAAUAUUGGACAAUGGGGGAAACCCUGAUCCAGCAAUGCCGCGUGAGUGAAGAAGGCCUUAGGGUUGUAAAGCUCUUUCGGCGGGGACGAUGAUGACGGUACCCGCAGAAGAAGCCCCGGCUAACUUCGUGC
rnacentral:rRNA from 1 species